ACGAAUGUAGUUCUAACCCGUGUCUAAAUGAUGGCUCUUGCAACGAUCGGGUUAACGACUUUACGUGCUUUUGCAGGGAUGGAUUCACGGGUGAUUUCUGUGAAACAAAUAUCAACGAGUGUAUUUCUAACCCGUGUCACAAUGAUGGCACUUGCUUCGACAGGAUCGACAGCUUUACGUGCGCUUGCAGGGAUGGAUUUACAACUACUUUCUGUGAAGCAGAAAUCGACGAGUGUCUUUCUUACCCGUGUCACAAUGGUGGCUCUUGCAACGAUCGGGUUAACGGCUUUACGUGCUUUUGCAGGGAUGGAUUCACGGGUGAUUUCUGUGACAUAAGUAGGUUUCGCAAUUUCCUUCUCAUCACAUAUUGUAACGAGCUAAAAAAAAGAAAUGUCAAAGAAAUCUGUAACGUAAUAUUGAAAAAACUUGCAUAAAGAAGAUAAGUAAUCAUAAGCAUCAUGUUCAAAAUAUAUUGUUUUUAAAUAUUCUUAUUCGUUUUUUAUUUGAUUAAUGGAUUUGUAAUGUUAUCC